UACGUAGGCAGCGAGCGUUGUUCGGAGUUACUGGGCGUAAAGGGUGUGUAGGCGGUUGUUUAAGUUUGGUGUGAAAUCUCCCGGCUCAACUGGGAGGGUGCGCCGAAUACUGAAUGACUAGAGUGCGGGAGAGGAAAGUGAAAUUCCUGGUGUAGCGGUGAAAUGCGUAGAUAUCAGGAAGAACACCCGUGGCUAAGGCGGCUCUCUAGUACGGUACUGACGCUGAGACGCGAAAGCGUGGGGAGCGAACAGG
rnacentral:rRNA from 1 species